rnacentral:rRNA from 1 species
CCUACGGGUGGCAGCAGUAGGGAAUCUUGCUCAAUGGGCGAAACCCUGAAGCAGCAACGCCGCGUGGAGGAUGAAGGUUUUCGGCUUGUAAACUCCUUUUGUUAGAGAAGAUAAUGACGGUAUGUAACGAAUAAGCACUGGCUAACACCGUGCCAGCAGCCGCGGUAAAACGGAGGGGGCACGCGUGAUGCGGUCUCAAUGGGCGUAAGGAGCGCGUAGGCGGGAUAGCAAGUCAGAUGUGAAAGCCUAUGGCUAAACCAUAGAACUGCAUCUGAAACUGUUGAUCUAGAGUAUAGGAGAGGUAGGUGGAAUUCUAGGUGUAGCGGUAAAAUCCGUAGAGAUCAAGAAGAAUACGCAUUGCGAAGGCGACCUGCUAGAACGUAACUGACGCUGAUGCGCGAAAGCGUGGGGAGCAAACAGGAUUAGAUACCCUUGUAGUC